rnacentral:rRNA from 1 species
UUAAAACUUUCAACAACGGAUCUCUUGGUUCUGGCAUCGAUGAAGAACGCAGCGAAAUGCGAUAAGUAAUGUGAAUUGCAGAAUUCAGUGAAUCAUCGAAUCUUUGAACGCACAUUGCGCCCCUUGGUAUUCCGGGGGGCAUGCCUGUUCGAGCGUCA